rnacentral:rRNA from 1 species
GACGAACGCUGGCGGCGUGCCUAAUACAUGCAAGUAGAACGCUGAAGAGAGGAGCUUGCUCUUCUUGGAUGAGUUGCGAACGGGUGAGUAACGCGUAGGUAACCUGCCUGGUAGCGGGGGAUAACUAUUGGAAACGAUAGCUAAUACCGCAUAAGAGUAGAUGUUGCAUGACAUUUGCUUAAAAGGUGCAAUUGCAUCACUACCAGAUGGACCUGCGUUGUAUUAGCUAGUUGGUGAGGUAACGGCUCACCAAGGCGACGAUACAUAGCCGACCUGAGAGGGUGAUCGGCCACACUGGGACUGAGACACGGCCCAGACUCCUACGGGAGGCAGCAGUAGGGAAUCUUCGGCAAUGGACGGAAGUCUGACCGAGCAACGCCGCGUGAGUGAAGAAGGUUUUCGGAUCGUAAAGCUCUGUUGUAAGAGAAGAACGAGUGUGAGAGUGGAAAGUUCACACUGUGACGGUAUCUUACCAGAAAGGGACGGCUAACUACGUGCCAGCAGCCGCGGUAAUACGUAGGUCCCGAGCGUUGUCCGGAUUUAUUGGGCGUAAAGCGAGCGCAGGCGGUUAGAUAAGUCUGAAGUUAAAGGCUGUGGCUUAACCAUAGUACGCUUUGGAAACUGCUUAACUUGAGUGCAAGAGGGGAGAGUGGAAUUCCAUGUGUAGCGGUGAAAUGCGUAGAUAUAUGGAGGAACACCGGUGGCGAAAGCGGCUCUCUGGCUUGUAACUGACGCUGAGGCUCGAAAGCGUGGGGAGCAAACAGG